AUUGAACGCUGGCGGCAUGCCUUACACAUGCAAGUCGAACGGUAACAGGUUAAGCUGACGAGUGGCGAACGGGUGAGUAAUGUAUCGGAACGUGCCCAGUCGUGGGGGAUAACUGCUCGAAAGAGCAGCUAAUACCGCAUACGACCUGAGGGUGAAAGCGGGGGAUCGCAAGACCUCGCGCGAUUGGAGCGGCCGAUAUCAGAUUAGGUAGUUGGUGAGGUAAAGGCUCACCAAGGCGACGAUCUGUAGCUGGUCUGAGAGGACGACCAGCCACACUGGGACUGAGACACGGCCCAGACUCCUACGGGAGGCAGCAGUGGGGAAUUUUGGACAAUGGGCGCAAGCCUGAUCCAGCCAUGCCGCGUGCGGGAAGAAGGCCUUCGGGUUGUAAAGCGCUUUUGUCAGGGAAGAAAAGGUUCUGGCUAAUACCUGGGACUCAUGACGGUACCUGAAGAAUAAGCACCGGCUAACUACGUG
rnacentral:rRNA from 1 species